AGCAGCCGCGGUAAUUCCAGCUCCAAUAGCGUAUAUUAAAGUUGUUGCAGUUAAAAAGCUCGUAGUUGAACUUCGGGGUCUACCCAUUGGUCAGGCUUAAUUGUCUGCACUGGUGAGAUGGAUCUCUACCUUCUGAGGAACUUUCAUGCCAUUUAUUUGGUGUGAUAGGAAAUCAGGACUGUUACUUUGAAAAAUUGAGUGUUUAAAGCAGACUAUCGUCUGAAUACAUUAGCAUGGAAUAAUGAAAUAGGACGGACUGGAUUCUAUUUCGUUGGUUUCCCUAGGAUCACCGUAAUGAUUAAUAGGGAUAGUUGGGGGCAGUUAGUAGUUCAAUUGUCAGAGGUGAAAUUCUUAGGAUUUAUUGAAGACUAACUACU
rnacentral:rRNA from 1 species